GUAUGUUUCAGUAAUUACUUUAGUGUGAAACCUUUGUUGAGCCCCACUGCGGUCUGUAGUGAUAAUAAGGAAUUCACGGUUAUCUUUUUUUCUGACAAAUCUAUGGAGUAGGUAGAGAGGGAUAACUUUGACUUCAGCUCACAGGGGAGGCUACACUCUAUAUUGUAAACUCUGCAUCAAGGGGGACAGUGUUGGGAGGUAAUAAACCAAAAGGAACUAUAAAGAAAGUAAGAAUCUGGCUUUUUUGAUGCUAAGCUUACUUCCACACAUUUUUUCUCUGUGUAGACUUGUCCUACAUUUCAGCAUUUGGUGUAGCACACUGCAAGCCCCAGUUUGAAACCUGCAGCCCUGCAAACCAAGUGACGCCGAAUUUUUGCCUGCAAAAGAUGUGCUAUUAUUUUUCUCCAUCAUUGCUGAGGGAGUUUGCCUCCGCUGUGUUUAUCUGGGGUGGAAGAGGAAACCUGCAGGCAGCUUGAUGCAUGGGCAGCAAGGGCCGGCAUGAUGUCAUAGCGAGGGGGAACAGAGCCCGGCUGUGUCGCACACUCUGGGCAGGGAGCAGCCACCUUAUCAAUUAGGAUAUCAGCUCCUACGAGACAAACCAAGAGGGACUACAGAGCAGCUCACAUAGCCAGAUGGUGACUGAGACCCUGGAGACCAGCAGGACCACAAACAGGCCUGUUAGAGGGCGGAAAUAAUAUUUGGGUAUGGCAAUUCAUGAAGUAUCUCAGAAGAGAUGGAUGAUGGUCUGAGAGACUGCCUAAAAAACAUCCAGGAGUGGAAAUAUAUGACCCUGGCAUGGCUGCAUGGGCAAGACCACAGGAGCUGUGCCGACUUCAGGAACACUGCUCAUGACAAUAAAGCUGAGCCACAGAAGAGUUUCCAGAAUCUGGAUAACUAUUCACUGCGCUCUUAGUUAAAGAACAGUUAAGAUAGACAUCUUAGAAUAAAUAUUUCCUAAUCUUAUUGCA
rnacentral:lncRNA from 1 species